rnacentral:rRNA from 1 species
CCUACGGGAGGCAGCAGUGGGGAAUAUUGGACAAUGGGGGCAACCCUGAUCCAGCCAUGCCGCGUGUGUGAAGAAGGCCCUCGGGUUGUAAAGCACUUUCAGUGAGGAAGAACGCCUGGUGGUUAAUACCCAUCAGGAAAGACAUCACUCACAGAAGAAGCACCGGCUAACUCCGUGCCAGCAGCCGCGGUAAUACGGAGGGUGCGAGCGUUAAUCGGAAUUACUGGGCGUAAAGCGCGCGUAGGUGGCUUGAUAAGCCGGUUGUGAAAGCCCCGGGCUCAACCUGGGAACGGCAUCCGGAACCGUCAAGCUAGAGUGCAGGAGAGGAAGGUAGAAUUCCCGGUGUAGCGGUGAAAUGCGUAGAGAUCGGGAGGAAUACCAGUGGCGAAGGCGGCCUUCUGGACUGACACUGACACUGAGGUGCGAAAGCGUGGGUAGCAAACAGGAUUAGAUACCCCGGUAGUC